GAAGCUCAAGUUCACCAUGAGCCACAGCAGUAAGCCAUGCUUUAGCCUCUGACCUGUGCUCCAAUUUUGGUACAAUGAUUUCUGCCAUGUUCUCCAACAGCAACUUUUGCAAAGUAAACAUUACCAUCUUCAUUUCAGGGUGAGGAAACAGACAGCACUAAGAGAAAAAGCUGGAACUCAAAACCAAAUUAACUCCAAACUUAAGUUUUCCCACUUCGACAAGAAAAGGAACUGCAUGUGUUUUUCUGCCUCUUGCAGAUGUAUGUCAUAAAAGUUGGAUGCCUUCCUUUCAAGACAUUUGAAUGGAUCACCAAAUAAUUACCUACUUUUCUCUCACAACUCAGAUAAAUAAUUAAAAGGAGAUAUACACAGA
rnacentral:lncRNA from 10 species